rnacentral:lncRNA from 1 species
CUCCCCCCCCCCCCCCCCCCCCCCCCCCCCCCUCUCUCUCUCCCCUUCCAUCGAGUCUCUCGUUCUCGUCCCGCGUGCACACAUGACACCCUGGCUGGGGCGAGCUCACUCAUCUCAGCUGGCUUGCCAUGGACAUAUGCCUGGGCAGUAGCUACCUCUAUAUAAGUGGAGACCGAGCUUCAUUUCCAUAGGAAGCUAGCCAAGCCUACUGCCUCUCUCAGCCUCUAUCUCUCCACCUCUUUUUUCAUCACUCUCUCUAUCUUGGUUCAGAGUCAGAGAGAUAAGAGAUCUAGAUGAUGAAGAAGCAGAAGGGAUCAGGAGGAGGGCUCAGCAAGGUGGUGAGGGAGCACAAGGCCAGGCUCUACAUCAUCCGCAGAUGCGUCGUCAUGCUCCUCUGCUGGCACGACUAACAAACUUCUAGUCUGCAAGUAGCUCAUCUGAUCCAUCCGCCUCAAAUGGUCUCGAUCGACACAGCCAUCGAUCAGAGGAUUACUGCAAGAUGAUGAAGAGAGAAUUCAUUGCAAGCCCGUCAUACAUGCCGGCAUUGCAAUUCUCAGCAUGCAUCUCUGAUGAGACUACUUCUUUGAGUUUCCCUUUAUUUCUUUGACUAGCAAAGCUAGACCUGUAGCUAUACUUUUGUAUAUAUCUGUGUAUUUGAUUGCUAACUGCUGAUGGUACUUUAUAAACCGCCUAGCUACGACCUAACCAACGGACUCCCUUUCUACUCCUAAUCUUUGGGUGACCUGUUUAACAAUCAAGGAGUCUGUGAAUUUGAUCCGCUCUCUUCUCUUUACCUUCGUUGCAAGAGAUUAAUUGUUCACGCCUGAUUAAUUUCUUCUAGGCUCGCAUAUCAUUUUGUUCAGAUGAAUUUCUUGAUUGAAAUUAUUAGGUCACACUGCACUAUCUAGUAUCUAGGUCGUUGCAACUUACAUUAUUGAUUUCGAUGGAUCUAGAGAUAGAUCCAUGCUAAUAAACUGAACCAAUCAUGCAUCCUUUUCGAAAGAAAAAAAAAGAACUGAACCAAUCAAAUUCUAGAACACGGCUCGUAAUCCCGUAAACAGAAUGUCAGAUUAGGA